rnacentral:rRNA from 1 species
UACUCUUAUGUUGCCAGCACGUUAUGGUGGGGACUCGUAAGAGACUGCCGGGGUCAACUCGGAGGAAGGUGGGGACGACGUCAAGUCAUCAUGCCCCUUAUGUCCAGGGCUUCACACAUGCUACAAUGGCCAGUACAGAGGGCUGCGAGACCGUGAGGUGGAGCGAAUCCCUUAAAGCUGGUCUCAGUUCGGAUCGGGGUCUGCAACUCGACCCCGUGAAGUCGGAGUCGCUAGUAAUCGCAGAUCAGCAACGCUGCGGUGAAUACGUUCCCGGGCCUU